rnacentral:rRNA from 1 species
AGAGUUUGUUCCUGGCUCAGGAUGAACGCUGGCGGCGUGCUUAACACAUGCAAGUCGAACGAAGCACUUUAUUUGAUUUCCUUCGGGACUGAUUAUUUUGUGACUGAGUGGCGGACGGGUGAGUAACGCGUGGGUAACCUGCCUUGUACAGGGGGAUAACAGUUGGAAACGGCUGCUAAUACCGCAUAAGCGCACGGCAUCGCAUGAUGCAGUGUGAAAAACUCCGGUGGUAUAAGAUGGACCCGCGUUGGAUUAGCUAGUUGGUGAGGUAAUGGCCCACCAAGGCGACGAUCCAUAGCCGACCUGAGAGGGUGACCGGCCACAUUGGGACUGAGACACGGCCCAAACUCCUACGGGAGGCAGCAGUGGGGAAUAUUGCACAAUGGGCGAAAGCCUGAUGCAGCGACGCCGCGUGAGCGAAGAAGUAUUUCGGUAUGUAAAGCUCUAUCAGCAGGGAAGAUAAUGACGGUACCUGACUAAGAAGCACCGGCUAAAUACGUGCCAGCAGCCGCGGUAAUACGUAUGGUGCAAGCGUUAUCCGGAUUUACUGGGUGUAAAGGGAGCGCAGGCGGUGCGGCAAGUCUGAUAUGAAAGCCCGGGGCUCAACCCCGGUACUGCAUUGGAAACUGUCGUACUAGAGUGUCGGAGGGGUAAGCGGAAUUCCUAGUGUAGCGGUUAAAUGCGUAGAUAUUAGGAGGAACACCAGUGGCGAAGGCGGCUUACUGGACGAUAACUGACGCUGAGGCUCGAAAGCGUGGGGAGCAAACAGGAUUAGAUACCCUGGUAGUCCACGCCGUAAACGAUGA